GCACCUGUUCAGGAUUAGGCCUCAAUUGCUGCUCUGUGUUGAGGCAGUGUAGUCAUUUAUCUUGGGCUCUGUCGUAGAAUCACAGAAUUCUUAAGAGUUCGAAGGGUUCUUUGAAGGUCAUCUAGACCAACUCUCCUGCAAUGAACAGGUAUGUCCACAGCUAGAUCAGGUUGCCCAAGACCUGAUCCAUCCUCACCUUGAGAAUCUCCAGGGAUGGAGAAUCCACCAUGGCACUACGUAACCUGUUCCAGUGCCUCACCACCCUCACCGUAAAAGACUUUUUCCUUACAUCUAACCUAAACCUACCCUCUUUAAGCUUGAAGCCAUUUCCCCCUUGUUCUGUCACCACAGACCCUACCAAAGAGUCUGUCCCCUUCUUUCCUGUAGCUCCCCAAAGAUACUGAAAGACCGCUAUCAGGCUCCCUCAGAGCCUUUUCUUCUCCAAGCUGAACAACCCCAGCUCUCUGUCUGUCCUUAUAGGGGAGGUGUUCCAUUCUGUGGACCAUUUUUGUGGCCCUCCUCUGGAUGCACUCCAGCAGGUCUAUGCCUCUCCUGUACUGAGGAAUCCACAUCUGGAUGCAGUAUUCCAGGUGAGGCCUCAAUACUGCAGAGUAGAGGGGCAGGAUCAUCUCCCUUGACCUGCUGACCAUGCUUCUUUUGACACAGUCCAGGGUAUGGUUGACUUUCUGGGAUGCAGGGGCACAUUGCUGGCUCAUGUCCCUUCCCAUGCAUCAGUACCUCCAGGUCUUUUUUUGACAGGAUUGUUCUCAAUCUAUCAUCCCCUAGCUGGUAUUGGUAGUGAGGGUUGCUUUGACCCAGGUGCAAGAUCUUGCACUUGGAUUUGUUGAACUCCGUGAGGGUCUCCUGGGCCUGCUGCUCAAGCCUGCCUAGGUCCCUCUGGAUGGCAUCCCAUCCUUCUCGUGUGUCAUCAGCAAACUAGCUGAGAGGUCACUGAUAAAGACAUUAAAGACUAUCAGUCUCAGCGCUGAUCCCUGGAAAACACCACUUGUCACAGCCUCCUUUUUCACUGUAGCAAGGGCUUUCCUCUACUAUCCCUAAACAUGCAGGUAAAUAGUAAGCUUAGGCAGUGCUUGACCUUUAAGACUCGGGUGAAAUGUGUUGUCUUCGUAUCAUUUGCUGUUUCUGUUUACAGCUUUUCUGUAGUGCUUUCAAAAGCCAUGAUCUUUGAUAAGUGUCUCUGCAUUGGCAACAGGUCUGAGAUCAGACUUAGCUGAGCAUUAACUUGUGCUAGGGACGUUUUUUUCAGCUUUGAAGAAUGUGUAUAAGCAAAAUAACAUGUUCUGUCCUGUGUCUGCCAGUUGCUAUCAGUAUUUCAAAGAAGGUAAAACAGACCUUUUAUAUCUGUUUUCAAGCAUAGUUCGGAUUCUGUCCAGAAGCAGAUACCUUGCCUUUAGGAAGCUUAAAUUGCUCUUGUUCUUACAAUACAUUAGUUACAGGCUUGCAGAGAUUUAUUCCAAAACAGAUGCCUUACCAACAGGAGAGCAUGGAUAAAUAUAGAAUAUGUAGAAGGGAGGGGGAAAAAGUCCCUUACUGGUGAUGAGUAUUACAGCUAGGGCUGACACUGAUCUCUUGGGACUGUGUCAAAGCUGACAAAUUCCCACCUCUUCCUACUGCUGGUGCUGUGCUGCUGCUUUAGAUCUUUGCAUUCCACAGGAGGUGGUGUGGGCAGGAGACACCAUAGGUUGAAACAAAAUUAACCAGCCCAUAGAAAGUCUUUGGAACUAUACAAGGUGUGCUGGCACAGUGCUCCUUUGUGAUUUCCCUAACUUCUGCAUGUGAAAGCACCCAGCAUCACAGUUACUUCAGGGCCUGAAUUUUUUUUCUGGGGUGGCAGAGCUUAAGUCAGAGCUGUGUCUCAGAGGAAUAAGCCUAGCUGUAGUAUUACUAAUUUAAUUUCUACGUGUCUAUGAGCUGAAAGAGCAGGCACUGUUACCAUGAGUGGGUUAUGGGUUAUAAGUAUCAAGGAGAAUGGGGAAUUCUUUUCCUUGUGUUUGUGUCAUUUGGCUGUAUUUACUACAAGUGUUUGUCUGUGCUACCUUGGCAUCUGCACCCCAUAACUGCUGUAUUUAUCUUGACUGCUUUUCAGUUGAAUAGAGAAUAGUGUUGUCCCUUGACUUUGAGAACAGUCACACUGGAAAGCAAACUGAUUUCCUUAAGUCCAGUAUUGUGUCCCCCGCUAUCAAUAAUAGACUUAGUGAUACUCAGUCCUGUGCCAGUGGUCCCACUGGGAUGGCUUCAUUAUUUGGCCCCUGCUGUAUAAAACUAUGUGAAGGGUGAUUUAAAAAUAUUAUUUAAUGUGCUUCAUGUCUUCUAAGUCAUACCAUCUUUUUGGAAUUUCUAUCAAAUGCAUUAUGCUUGUCUGCUUUUUCUUUUCUAGUGCAUUAGGAUGCUUUCCUUAUCAACACUAAGGUAUUACCUACAUACCAGUGAUUAUUUUUGUUGCUACCCGUUUUACAGAACGGGGGAAAAAAUGCAUGCAGUGCAGAAAAGGAAGAGGGAUUGUCACAGGGCUCACUUGCUCUUACCCAUGACAGCAUGAGCAUACAACGCCAUCUUGGGUUGUAGUUACAAGUGGAGCUACAACAACUCCAGUUUAGUCUUCAGCACAGGUCUUUGUAGUAGUGACAGUUCUCAGAUAGGCUCCAAGGAGCUUGGCCUUGUGUAAAUCUCUUCCAGUGCGCUCACACAUACAGCUUAGAGAAAACAGAAAUUGACCUGUAACCUAGUACAGUUUAGGUAGAGCUGAGCAUUCAGGGCAAGAACAAGGACAAGGGUAUGCAGCAACAUCAGCAUAGCCAGUGCUUUAUAAGGUGUUAGUAUCUAUGCUAACUGUAAAGCAGUCAAGGCUACAGUAAAUACUGUAAAUACUGGCCUGGGGUCUUAAUAUUGUGUUAAAUGCUGGCUUCUUUUAGUACUGAGAACUACAGUAGGAUAUGUCUCUGCAGUAAGUUAUUAUAUGGUUUCUAUUUCAAAUAAUUUUAUUAUUAUAAUCUGUUCAUUACGGUGAUCUGGGGAUGGACCAGGAUCUGGCUGGUAGCAAGCAAAGCACCACAGAGCAAGAAACUGGUCCACAAAGUCUAUCUUUGCACUUAUAAGACUAUGUUCAGGCAGCAGGAUCCUGGAAAGUGGAAUGUGCAUUAGUGUGUAUGAUAGGGGGUUAAAAGCUCUUCAGAAAGUAGCAUUAGCCUAGUGGUCAGAUUUCUGCCCUAGCUCACAGGACGGAAGCCACUGUGAGCUGCCCAUGCUCCAGCAUGCUUUUUGGCCAUGGAUCAGAGGACUGUGUUCUGCAGCCUGUGGAGUAAUUGCAUCAAGUUUCUUGUAAGCAAGUAUGUAACCCACUUCAUUAAGCUGAUAGAAGGCCAUGUAUUUGUUAAGGCUUUGGCUUGCUGUACUCAAAUUGUUUAUCUCCCUUUUUGGUGCAGAGCAGUGAUCUGUGAGCAACCCCAGCUGAAGGCAUUGUAAUGCUAUAGUACCUUACCCCAGUUGCCAGGUAUUUCUGGGACAUGAGCAUGACGUGUGGGCUGUUGCAUGAAUCACUGCACAUCUCAGCAGUCCUUGCAUCAGUGAGUUUCCUUGGUGUCCCUUUGCUGCCCGAAUUUGUAGUAGGCUGCAGGAAGCCUCAAGCAGAAGAAAACAGCAUGCACAUCCUUGCUUGUUGUCAGUAUCCAGAAUCUCAUAGAACAUACAAGGCAGCUUGUUCAACUACGGAGGUCACUUGGCCCUGAAGCAACUGCUGUAGACACUGUUGUGCUUACUUUCAGAGGCCAGAGCCACAGUCUACUCUCACUUCAACAUCAAUAGUGAACUGUGCCAGGAGCAGCUAAUAUAUGUGGCCAGCCUAGCCUUUGCAUCAUAGCUUCUGGGGCAAAUUUGUUGGCGGGAGCUGGGGUAAGACUGCCCAUGUUGGGAAGUACUUGGGUUGGGAAGGAUGCAGCCAUUCCAGAUUCAGUCCUGCAUGUAGGGAGAAAAAGAGUUUCUCUAAAUUACAACAAAUCUAUACAUCAACAAGGAGGAAGAUUCUCUUUCAGAAAAAUGCUGUUUGUUCAAAUCCCAACUUUCAUGUCCUUGAUACUAAAAAAAAAGAAAAAGGAAAAAAAAGAAAGAAAUAAAAGAAGUUG
ensembl:lncRNA